rnacentral:rRNA from 1 species
GACGAACGCUGGCGGCGUGCUUAACACAUGCAAGUCGAACGCUGAACCCGCUUCGGUGGGGGAUGAGUGGCGAACGGGUGAGUAACACGUGGGCAACCUGCCCCCGGCUCUGGGAUAACUCCAAGAAAUUGGGGCUAAUACCGGAUGUGACCGCUGGCCGCAUGGUCUGGUGGUGGAAAGGGUUUCCGGCUGGGGAUGGGCCCGCGGCCUAUCAGCUUGUUGGUGGGGUAGUGGCCUACCAAGGCGACGACGGGUAGCCGGCCUGAGAGGGUGACCGGCCACACUGGGACUGAGACACGGACCAGACUCGUACGGGAGGCAGCAGUGGGGAAUAUUGCGCAAUGGGCGGAAGCCUGACGCAGCGACGCCGCGUGGGGGAUGACGGCCUUCGGGUUGUAAACCUCUUUCAGCAGGGACGAAGCGCAAGUGACGGUACCUGCAGAAGAAGCACCGGCCAACUACGUG